CCCAGGGCUUACGCCCUGGGCUACUCUAUGCCGCCCCUGACGGGGCU
rnacentral:sRNA from 1 species